ACUCCUUCCCAUCCCGAACAGGACAGUGAAACGACUUUGCGCCGAUGAUAGUGCGGGUUCCCGUGUGAAAGUAGGUCAUCGUCAGGC
rnacentral:rRNA from 3 species